AUGUACCACGCGUCCACUCCGGUUGCUCCGCGCUAUCGUAUCGGCCCGAAAACUGCUCGCUACGUGUUGUCAGCC
rnacentral:sRNA from 1 species